CCUACGGGCGGCAGCAGUGAGGAAUAUUGGUCAAUGGACGAGAGUCUGAACCAGCCAAGUAGCGUGAAGGAUGACUGCCCUAUGGGUUGUAAACUUCUUUUAUAUGGGAAUAAAAUGUUCCACGUGUGGGAUUUUGUAUGUACCAUAUGAAUAAGGAUCGGCUAACUCCGUGCCAGCAGCCGCGGUAAUACGGAGGAUCCGAGCGUUAUCCGGAUUUAUUGGGUUUAAAGGGAGCGUAGGUGGAUUGUUAAGUCAGUUGUGAAAGUUUGCGGCUCAACCGUAAAAUUGCAGUUGAAACUGGCAGUCUUGAGUACAGUAGAGGUGGGCGGAAUUCGUGGUGUAGCGGUGAAAUGCUUAGAUAUCACGAAGAACUCCGAUUGCGAAGGCAGCUCACUGCAGCGGAACUGACGCUGAUGCUCGAAAGCGCGGGUAUCGAACAGGAUUAGAUACCCGAGUAGUC
rnacentral:rRNA from 1 species